CCCCUCUCAGGAUGGCACCUGGAGAGCUUCCAGUACUCCACCAGUCUUGGUUACUGGAGGAAGAGUCAAGCAGAGGCAUAUCCAUUCUAUUCCUAGCUUGGGUGGUGGCUAGUGAGUGGAAGGCAAUCUGCUACAAGU